UUCUCCCUCAAAAAUUUCAGCCUCCAAAAACCAUCUCCCUCCUUCCAUAGCUCUCUCUCCCUAAGCAUCUCCAUAGCUCUCUCUUUCCCUAAGCUCUCUCUCCCUAAUGCUCGGACUCAUCUCGGCUCUCUCUCCAAACGGUCGGCGACUCCCUCUCGGUCUCUCUCCCUCUUGGCCACGAGUUGCUCUCUCUGCCGAAACACAGGCCAGAGCAUUGUUGGAAUGGCAUAGUACAUCAAACUUUUGUGGACAUUGUGGAGAGAAAACAGUCCCUAAGGAAGCUGGGAGACGAAAGCAAUGUUCAAGUGAUUUGUGCAAACAGAGAAUCUACCCUCGUGUUGAUCCUUUAUGUUAAAGCUUAUCCCUUUUUAUUAAUGGUGUUUAGUCUCUUGUGUAGAAGUAAACUACUUUAAUUAGAUGCUUUCAAAUUUUAAUUGUUUUCUUAGCUACUUUUGUGUCUCUAUGGCUCAGGUUGUCAUUAUGUUAGUUAUUGUCAUUAUGGCUCAGGUAGUUAUUUUAUAUAUGUACAAUAUAUAAAUGUGUAAUAUAUAGUAUGGUAGUGUCAAAAUGUAA